rnacentral:tRNA from 1 species
UGUUCUGUGGCUUAGUUGGUUAAAGCACCAAACUAGUGAAACCGAAUCAUGGGUUCGAACCCUACCAAAAUAA